ensembl:lncRNA
AUACCAAACCAUACUUAACUUUCCUCCUGGAAUUUACACAGAGUUCAACCAAUCCUCCUCCUUUCCUGAACCGAAGAGGAGCAGUGAUCCUUUGUUCCAGAGAAGCGUAGAGACAGGUGUAGUAUAUGAAGAAUAUUGGAUCAUGGGACACAGAAACAAAUAAAAAGAAUAUUGGACCUCACACUGCUGUGUAGAUGGAAAAAGGAGAUGUCCUUUAAUAGCCUUCUCAGGAGACAUGGGAUCAGUCCCUGGUCUGGAAGAUCCCAUGUGCCACAGAACAACUAAGCCCCAGUACCACAACUAUUGAUCAAGAUAGAGUCCAAGAGCAGCAGCUACUGAGCCAGUACACAGCAACUACUGAAGCCUGUGCCCCACAGCAAGAGAAGCCACGACCAUGAGAAGCCUGCACACCACAGCAAAGAGUAGUCUCCUCGCCACAACUCGAGAAAGCCCACACACAGCAAUGA